rnacentral:rRNA from 1 species
GAGCGGCGAACGGGUGAGUAACACGUGAGCAACCUGCCCCUGACUNUGGGAUAAGCCCGGGAAACUGGGUCUAAUACCGGAUAUGACACGCUCCCGCAUGGGGUGCGUGUGGAAAGUUUUUCGGUUGGGGAUGGGCUCGCGGCCUAUCAGCUUGUUGGUGGGGUAGUGGCCUACCAAGGCGACGACGGGUAGCCGGCCUGAGAGGGCGACCGGCCACACUGGGACUGAGACACGGCCCAGACUCCUACGGGAGGCAGCAGUGGGGAAUAUUGCGCAAUGGGCGGAAGCCUGACGCAGCGACGCCGCGUGGGGGAUGACGGCCUUCGGGUUGUAAACCUCUUUCAGCAGGGACGAAGUUGACGUGUACCUGCAGAAGAAGCGCCGGCUAACUACGUGCCAGCAGCCGCGGUAAUACGUAGGGCGCAAGCGUUGUCCGGAAUUAUUGGGCGUAAAGAGCUCGUAGGUGGCUUGUCGCGUCGGAUGUGAAAGCCCGCAGCUUAACUGCGGGUCUGCAUUUGAUACGGNCAGGCUAGAGGUAGGUAGGGGAGAACGGAAUUCCU